rnacentral:rRNA from 1 species
UAAUACGUAGGUGGCAAGCGUUGUCCGGAUUUAUUGGGUUUAAAGGGUGCGUAGGCGGCCCUGUAAGUCAGUGCUGAAAUAUCCCGGCUUAACCGGGAGGGUGGCAUUGAUACUGCAGGGCUUGAGUACAGAUGAGGUAGGCGGAAUUGACGGUGUAGCGGUGAAAUGCAUAGAUAUCGUCAAGAACACCGAUAGCGAAGGCAGCUUACCAAGCUGUAACUGACGCUGAGGCACGAAAGUGUGGGGAUCAAACAGG